CCUCCUCUUCCUCAUUGUCGGUGCUGCUGAGUUUUUCCGCGUCACUCUCCAGCAGGUCACUUCCCGGCCCCGUGUUGUGCGGGGAGCGAGACUCCGCCUUCAGCAGAAUUCCUGGAGAAGAACAAUGGGCUCUCAUGUUUUGGUCUUAAUGGGCCAACCUGGGAAGCGAUUCUCCUUGAGGUUCAGCUCCGGACAGGAUGAGAAUGCAGGGAAGAGCUUCAAGCUCCAGAGCGAACGGGAAGGAUGUAACGUGGAGAAUCAGGAUGUUUGGAGCAUCUCUGACCUGCCUGGAAUUCAGUAGCCGGUCCACGAGACCCAAACCGGUGUCUGUGUUGCAGUAAGAGGCACUGAGAAGCACAGAGAAAAGGAAACCGUCCGCAUCGUUAAUGUCAAAAAGUAAGUCUCUUACGGAAUUCUUCUGUGUCACAAAGACCUGCUGACAUCCCAGUGGGCGUGGUCAUGGACCAGGAUGUAAAGCGUAUAGGAGUUGCUGUGCGCUUCCUGUAUCAAGCUGUCAACUCGCACUUGAGCGCUUUGAUCCAUCUUGACCACGUAGCGCUCUGCUUCCCGCUGAGACACACAAUCUUGUUCGACACUUCCAAGUUCUCGAAGAACACCUGAAAUCCAAGUUUCAAGUCAACGCGGAUGGGUGGAGUACGGUCUGUUGAAACGUGACCUCGGACGGAGGGACCAGGAUGAGGAAGUUGACCCGGUCAAAGGAGACAAGGUCCAAGUUCUGGGUGCUGGAGUCUGCUAUGGCGCAAACGUGAGACAGCAGCUUUCUGGCUACCGCCAGCUGGAUGGGCCGGAUAUCACGCCACUCCACAGCGUACUCUACAUGCAUGCACACACACAGAUUCAUAUGGGAUGUUAAGUUAAAAAAAAAAAACAGCACAGUAAUACGCUUUGUCGUAUUUGUGUCAUCUGCCUCACCAGAACAUGUUUCCUUAGGGGGCAGAACUCUCUCUUUAGGGCUGUGUGAAUCUUUUGGACUGUGUGUGUUUUUCACAGUCUUUUCCUCUGUUGAUUCCUGACUGCUGGAUAAGGGAGAGGGCUGGUUGCUGUCCAAGGUUGCACUGUCCAGUAGGGAAUCCAUAUCACCCUCUGCGAAACAGGAAGUUCGAUUCUGGGAUUCAAUAUGUAUCGUCUGCUCACAUCAGCGUGCACGUCACAGACGUCGCGUCAUCGUACAAAUUGUAACAGAACAGAACAUGCGCCAAAUAAACACAUAGCAGAGACUCAAGACAUUCCAAGUAAGUAAUGAGACAAGCACACCUUGUCCAAGGGAACUGCAGAACUGGAUGAGCUCCUGGGCGUCACCAGAGGAAAGCUGGUGGUUGAUUUCUCUUAAACCCUCAUUGGGAGAGAACAUAUUUUCGGCCAAGGCUCGACACUGGUGUUUACCUGUACCAAAAGCACACGCAUAUGCUUGAUGUCUAUUUUUUGUUUUUACAAUUUUUGUUAAAAACAAACUCCCACCUGUGACUACCACACACGACUGUGUUUCAUGCCCCGAAGCGGUCACAAUGACGACGAUGUAAUUUGUGUUUUCGAACCGCCCCUCCAUCAACUUUCUAAACAUCUGCUGAAGGCCCUGAGCCAAAGAGCCCACUUGCUCCCCCAACACCACAACCCCCUCUCCACAGGAUGAAGCGGCUAGCUGGGCGAGCCAAGGAAGCUGGCUGGGAGUCAGCGGCUGCUGUGGUGCUAAGCCAAGAUGCUGAGGGAGCCCUGGAAGGACAGGAGGUGCCUGGAGAGCCAAGGAAAGCAGAUUUAUGCUAAUAUCACUAAGUCAAAGCCUUUAUUUGUACAAAUGUGUUUUCAUACAAUAAUUUGCUUCCAUAAGUAAUUGAUACAUUAAUAACAAAUACUGCAAGGCACCUUCUAGUGAACCAAAUACAGUGACAUACAGUAGUAUAUGUAUGUGUAUGAGAAAUGAACCUCAAUUCCGUAGUGCCUCCCUUGAGUGGCUGGUGUUUGAGGUUGUUGAUUCUGUCUGAUUUCACUGAGGUGGGACUCCCUCCAUGACCUCAUGAAUAUCUGCUCCAAGUCCUCAAUCAGAGGCACUUGCUCGGGGCCUUGCCAAUGUGAGGGAGAAAAUUUGAAAUCAGAAGGAUGCAGGAAUCAGGAAAAAUACGGAAUAGGAGCUUGUAAAAGUCUCAAAGUUGCAGUUUUAGAUGAAUAUAUCUUCUAACUUCCUCUAUGACACAGUGCCAGUCUGCCCUCUAGUGGUCAUUAAAAGUAACAACAACAAAGUGAAAAAUGACAUUCUCUAAGUCUUUCCAGAGUGCAACACUGACCAAGCU